UGAACGCUGGCGGCGUGCCUAAUACAUGCAAGUCGAGCGAACAGACGCGGAGCUUGCUCCUCUGACGUUAGCGGCGGACGGGUGAGUAACACGUGGAUAACCUACCUAUAAGAUUGGGAUAACUUCGGGAAACCGGAGCUAAUACCGGAUAAUAUAUUGAACCGCAUGGUUCAAUAGUGAAAGAUGGUUUUGCUGUCACUUAUAGAUGGAUCCGCGCCGCAUUAGCUAGUUGGUAAGGUAACGGCUUACCAAGGCAACGAUGCGUAGCCGACCUGAGAGGGUGAUCGGCCACACUGGAACUGAGACACGGUCCAGAGUCCUACGGGAGGCAGCAGUAGGGAAUCUUCCGCAAUGGGCGAAAGCUUGACGGAGCAGCGCCGCGUGAGUGAUGAAGGUCUUCGGAUCGUAAAACUCUGUUAUUUGGGAAGAACAAAUGUGUAAGUAACUAUGCACGUCUUGACGGUACCUGGUCAGAAAGCCACGGCUAACUACGUG
rnacentral:rRNA from 1 species